rnacentral:rRNA from 1 species
AGUUUGAUCCUGGCUCAGAACAAACGCUGGCGGCGUGCCUAAUACAUGCAAGUCGAACGGGGAAAGUUCUUCGGAAUGAGUACUAGUGGCGUACGGGUGAGCAACACGUGGAUAAUCUUCCUUCAGGUGGGGAAUAACGAGUCGAAGGAUUCGCUAAUACCGCAUAAGACCACAGUAACUUUGGUUACAGGGGUUAAAGACUUCGGUCGCCUUUAGAUGAGUCUGCGUCCGAUUAGCUAGUUGGUGAGGUAAUGGCUCACCAAGGCGACGAUCGGUAACUGGUCUGAGAGGACGGCCAGUCACACUGGGACUGAGACACGGCCCAGACUCCUACGGGAGGCAGCAGUAGGGAAUUUUGCACAAUGGAGGAAACUCUGAUGCAGCGACGCCGCGUGAGUGAUGAAGGCCUUCGGGUCGUAAAGCUCUGUUCUCAGGGAAUAAAAAAUGAAGGUACCUGAGGAGAAAGGACCGGCUAACUUCGUG